rnacentral:rRNA from 1 species
ACCUUACUUCCUAACUUACUCUUUAAUUGAAAUAAUUGUAUUAAUAAAUAUUAAAUUAAAAAUCUAUUUUUUCAGAUUUAUAAAAUCACCCUGCUCUUCUGGGAUAUCUCAAAUUUUAACUAAAAAUUAAUAACUUAAAUCUAAAUAACUCAGUUAAUUAAUUAAUUAAUUAAAAAACAACCCCACUAUAAUUUUAUUUAAAUUGAAAAUUAUUUAAAUAGUAAUUAAUUACAAAAUAACUAGGUUAAAUAAAAAACUUACUUUCUAAUUUAAUGGAAUCCCUAUUGUCGCAUUAAUUAAACCUCUCAAGUUUAGCUAUUUAAUCAAACGCUGGAGCUACAACCUAAUUCUAUUCUAUAACCUCGUCUAAAGUAAUUUUGAUCCAGACAAGCUGGAAAAUUAAGAAUGCACUAGACUCAAGUCUGG